CGCUAGCGGCAGGCUUAACACAUGCAAGUCGAGGGGUAUGGUUUUCGGACCAAGAGACCGGCGCACGGGUGCGUAACGCGUAUGCAAUCUACCUUUGCAGAGGGAUAGCCCAGAGAAAUUUGGAUUAAUACCUCAUAGUAUAGUACUUUGGCAUCAUUUCACAUUAAAGUCACAACGGCAAAAGAUGAGCAUGCGUCCCAUUAGCUAGUUGGUAAGGUAACGGCUUACCAAGGCUACGAUGGGUAGGGGUCCUGAGAGGGAGAUCCCCCACACUGGUACUGAGACACGGACCAGACUCCUACGGGAGGCAGCAGUGAGGAAUAUUGGACAAUGGGCGCAAGCCUGAUCCAGCCAUGCCGCGUGCAGGAUGACGGUCCUAUGGAUUGUAAACUGCUUUUGUACAGGAAGAAACACUACUUCGUGAAGUAGCUUGACGGUACUGUAAGAAUAAGGAUCGGCUAACUCCGUG
rnacentral:rRNA from 1 species